CCUCAUCGGUCAUUACUUGUAAUUGAAGAUGAGUAAUUUGUCGUGUAAACAUGCCCUGUUGUGCCAAAAAAUGCGGGAAGUAUUUAACUUGCAUCUAAGAAAAUGAUGUAAAGUUAGCCGGGAAGGCGGGAGUGCUAAUGAAUGACAACAGUAACUUGUGUGAGUGCUCAGAGGGCCGGCUGGUUCCAGGCGUGUCACUUUCACCGCCCAUCAAGCUGCUGUCUGAUCAUUGGUGAGCCAAAGUCAUCGACCAUGACAGCGUUUGCUGCUUUGGAGUGUCUUCAAAAAGUUGUCCCGUCUCUACUGGAUCAUGAGUUCGUCGCUGUGAGAGGACAGGCUUGAGGCGCUAACGAACAUCCGGGCCUUGUCGCCGUGCGCCUUGUCAGACUGCAGCGUGAAGGACAGGUGGUCGUGCUCCAGGAUGGCAAGGCGGU